CCUGCCCCGUCUCGGUCCCCGCCCACCUCACCUCCCCGAUCAUGCCGUUCCAGACGCCGUCGAUCUUUUUGCCGUGCUUGCCGUUGGUGACCAGGACCCAGGAGUCCCACUCCUCGCCUGUGCCUGAGGUCAGCGCUGGCACUCACCACCUCCCAGGUCCUGUCUCGGGUGAGGGAGAUGACCACCAGGGAGGGGUUCACAAGGAAGCCGUCCUCAUUGAAGGAGUAGUCCCGGUUGUCCCAGGAAAAAACCCAUGGAAAAAGAAAGACUCCGAGCUUCCACUGCAGGGGAUGCGGGUUCAAUCCCUGAUCAGGGAAGUUCCACAUGCCGGGCAGUGCGGCCAAAAGGAAAAGAAAAACUCUUAUUCUCUCCUAAUCCUGACUAGUUCUUAGGUGUUCGAGACUCCGCUCACGUCUUCUUUCUGGACAGAAGCCCUGGGAGGGGCUCUGGACUCCCAAAUAUCUUCACUAUACAGUGGCAGCCUGCACUCUGAAUGCUUGUCACAUCACCCUGGUCACUGGACCAGACCCUCAGCUGCCAUCCUCACCCCCUCACUCCCCCUCCCGCACCCCCCAUGCAGGGCAUCCAUCCUCAAAUCCCAUCCUUCCUGCCCUGGGGAUAUCUCUGCCCCAGCCCUCCUCUCUGUCCCUACAACCCUCCAGGACCCUACCCCAGCCUCCUACUUUGCCUCCAGCCUCCAAUCUUUCUCCUCUAAUCUGAACCCAUCCCACCCCAGAGGGGUCUGUCUACACCCCAAACUGACUCCACUCUCUCCUGCUCAGAGCCCACUCAUAGCUCCCGAAUGCCCUAGAAUACAGUUUGAACCUCUCAACCUGGCAUUCAAGACCCUCGUAGGGACUUCCCUGAUGGCCCAGUGGCUAAGACUCUGCUCUCCCAAUGCAGGGGGCCCAGGUUUGAUCACUGGUCAGGGAACUAAGAUCCCACAUGCUGCAACUAAGACCUGGCACAGCCAAAUACAUUUUCUUUUUUUAAAAAAAGGGCCCUUGUGGCCUGUCCCCCCUCCACCUAACCAGCCUCAUCCCUCCCAACCCCUAAAUUCUCCUGCCUUUAUCCACCCUGAGCUAUUACGGUCCCACCAAACUGCCCCAAGUUUUUCUCCCCGCUGGUCCUUUGCACAACGCUCUUUCCCUUCCCUGGAUUAUCUAUUUCUGGUGGACUCUCGAUUGCCUUUGAAGCCAAAUCUAAAUCCCUAACCUGGCCUAAAUGCCCUACCUACACUGGGCCGCGUGUCAUUCCAUCAUAUUCUGCCCGCUUGCCCACUGUGCUCCAGACACACUGGCUUUAUUUCAGGCAUUUCCAGCCCCAGGGCCCUUAAACCUUCUGUUCCCCCUCCCUUCUCUUCACACGGAUCUUUUGAUAGUUGGCUCUCUCUCUCUGUCUCCCUUUUGUUUCUGGCCCUUCUUCUCAGCCUAUGGGAUUUUAGUUCCCCAACCAGGGACUGAACCCGGGUCUUCUGCAGUGAGAUCUGGAGUCCUAACCACUGGACCACCAGGGAAUUCUCCUGGCUCUUUCUCUUUAUCCAUUUUUUUUUUUUAACCUCCAAAUUCCCCCUACUCAGAAAGGCCUUUCCUGACGACCUCGUCUAACCUAGCACCAUAGGCAUUUCUCAUUACAUUCUGCCUGCUUUAUUUUCAUCUCAGAAGUUAUUACCCAUUGAUGUUUUUUUUCUCUCUUUUCUUGUUUGUCCACUGAUUGUCUCGCUUAUGAGACUGUGAGCUCUGUAAGAGCAGAGGCCUUGUUCAACAUUAUACUCUGUGUAUAAAGCAGGGCUUGGCACAUCGCAGACUCUUGAUAAAGGGCUUUUCAACAAAUGAA